rnacentral:rRNA from 1 species
AUUGAACGCUGGCGGCAGGCCUAACACAUGCAAGUCGAGCGCGCGGCGGACGGGUGAGUAUUGUAUGGGGACUGCCCGUUAGAGGGGGAUAACUCCUGGAAAAGGUGGCUAAUACCGCAUAUUGCCUGAUAAUCCCUAUGGGAUUAGCUAGUAGGUAAGGUAAUGGCUUACCUAGGCGACGAUCCCUAGCUGGUCUGAGAGGAUGAUCAGCCACACUGGGACUGAGACACGGCCCAGACUCCUACGGAGGCAGCAGUGGGGAAUAUUGCACAAUGGGCGCAAGCCUGAUGCAGCCAUGCCGCGUGUAUGAAGAAGGCCCUAGGGUUGUAAAGUACUUUCAGUCGGGAGGCGUUACCGACAGAAGAAGCACCGGCUAACUCCGUGCCAGCAGCCGCGGUAAUUC